CAACUACUCCCUCUGUCCCAAAUUUCUUGUCUUAGAUUUGUCUAGAUACGGAUGUAUCUAAUACUAAAAUGUGACUUGAUACAUCCGUAUCUAGAAAAAUCUAAGACAAGAAU
rnacentral:pre_miRNA from 1 species